rnacentral:rRNA from 1 species
GUUUGCGAUCAUACCAGCACUAAUGCACCGGAUCCCAUCAGAACUCCGCAGUUAAGCGUGCUUGGGCGAGAGUAGUACUAGGAUGGGUGACCCCCUGGGAAGUCCUCGUGUUGCAACCU